UGAAAGAGAGAUUGAGAGAGAUAAAGAAUUAUUAAUUGCUAUUUUAAAUGGUAUUAUAAUUGUUGCAUUCAAAUAAAACAUGAAUUUUAUUUUGUCAUGUUUCCCAUUUUGUGCUCAAGCUGCAUGGACAAAACCUGAUGAUGGGGUUCUUAAAGUGGUGGUCUGCGAAAUAAUUUACUAUAUAAAAAUGUGCCAUUUAUGGUUAUGAUCUUUAAGUUUUAUAUACUCUAAUAUUAGUACUGCAUCAAACGCAAGAAUCCUGAGACUGUGUGUGCGUUCCUUUUAAAGAUGCUCAACAUUAAGAGCUGCAUAUAGUAGUGUGGAAAAGAUGAGCGUCAAAAUAAGUUGAUACCUUUACAAAUACUGCAGAAAAUGAAAAAAAACAGCAGAGUAAAAUUAUAAUCUUGUAUUUACCACAGCAGAGUACACAGAAAAGGUUUAUGCCACUUGCUGAGAAGGGUAUUCCUGCACAACCGGAGGCUGCAGUUUCAGGACCGCAGUUCUAAGACCCCAAUUUUGUGUAAAAGUGGCGGCGCCCCCUACAGCACUGAAUAAACAAAAGCACUAAUUUAAAAGCGGGGUGCAUGAUCUCUAAAAGCCAAUGUUGACAUUUAAAAUCACCGAAACAAACACACGUACCCUACCUCAAUAGAAUCUGGACCUUCUUUUGAAAAACCCGCACAUACGCAACCCAGGCAAUGAUGUUGGUUUGUAGACACGCCCCUUAUGGCUGAUUGGCUACAAGUGUGUUUCCAAAGUGUUUUUAAAAAAUCAUGCACCCCACCUUUAAGAUGGAUGACAUGGGCAGCGGACUGUGUGACUGAGUACCGAUUUAAUUACAUUUUAUUUUAGAAUGUUGAUGCAUUUUAAAUAAUAAAAAAGAAAUACAUUUAUAAAGACAUACUACUGAGAUUAAUAUCUUGAUACAAUUUACAAACAUUACUACAAACUAAACCACCAGGGUCCUAGAACUGCGGACCUGAAACUGCAUAUAUUAUCCAGUUCGGUAGGUGGCGCUGUCACAAAAAAAGCGUGAGGCUGCAGUUUCAGGUCCCCAGUUCUGGGACCCUAUUCCUAGAACUGCGGUCCUAAAAGUGCAGCCAGCCUCUGAUAGCGCAGGAAUACACGAUUGCGCAUUUUGCGUACCGUCAAAUAACUUAUUCUUUAGUACCGUGUGAAACGCCCCCCACUCCAAACGCUAAAUUAAACAUCUCGCGAGAUUUGGCCGUAGCUGUAUCUCCUCUAGCUAGAACCGAAGAAACAGCGGUGUGUGUGGCUCCGGGGGAAAUUAAUCUUGUGCAACACUUUCAGCACCAAGUGACACCAUGGCCAGAGCCGAGGAGAUACUGAGAGGAGAGUAGAAGACAUUUCCACUAGUGUUUAUCUCACUGAUCUUCUUAAACACAUUGAGAGAGAAUUGUGUGUUUGCUGCUGACAAAGACUCCAUUUUCAUAAGCUGAGGAACAAACAACAGGAGAGAGAAGGAGAGGUGAUUGAAAGUAAAAAAAUUGUGCAGAAUGUUUUCCAUUCAAUUGCACAAAAUCAUAAAAAAGACAAAUAUUUGUCAGCGAAUCAUCAGGAUCAAUCCAUGAUUUGUUCUGAUUCUAUGAUAUAACCCUUAAGAAGUUACUUCAUCUUAUAAUAAAGAUUAAAAUCAAUGAAAAUGUUUAUUUUCUGGUGAUCUAUACUAAGAAAUUAAAUAAAAUCAUAAAUCUGUACCUUGGAUAUUCAGCAGAAAUGUUUAAUAUUCUCUGUAUGUCCUUGACUGACUGAUCUGACUGUUUUGGGUGCCUGACUAAUAAAUGUUUUUAAUGCAAAUCUA